GUGCUUACCUUGGUAGCACAUAUACUAAAAGUGGAACCAUACAGAGAAGAUUAGCAUGGCCCCUGCACAAAGCUGACAUACAAAUAUGUGAUGUGCUCCAUGUUUUU
rnacentral:snRNA from 1 species